CCUACGGGAGGCAGCAGUGGGGAAUCUUGCACAAUGGACGAAAGUCUGAUGCAGCGACGCCUCGUGAGUGAUGAAGGUCUUCGGAUCGUAAAGCUCUUUCGACUGGGAAGCGGUACCAGGAGAAGAAGCUGCGGCUAACUACGUGCCAGCAGCCGCGGUAAUACGUAGGCAGCAAGCGUUGUUCGGAAUUACUGGGCGUAAAGAGUGUGUAGGCGGUGUCGUAAGUUUGGCGUGAAAUCUCCCGGCUUAACUGGGAGGGUGCGCCGAAGACUGCGAUGCUUGAGGAUCGGAGAGGAAAGUGGAAUUUCUGGUGUAGCGGUGAAAUGCGUAGAUAUCAGAAGGAACACCUGUGGUGUAGACGGCUUUCUGGACGAUCCUGACGCUGAGACACGAAAGCGUGGGUAGCAAACAGGAUUAGAUACCCUUGUAGUC
rnacentral:rRNA from 1 species